AAAACAUCUUAGUAAUUACUAAAAAAUAAUUAUCACAACAGUAGGUUAAGAACAUAGCAUACAGAGUUAGAGAGAGGCUAAAGCCUGCAAACCAUGCAAUUAAUUACAGGAAAAUUAGGUCAGGAGACUCAAUACUAUAUAAUAGUUUACUAAAAACGCCAAUACUAUAUAAUAGUUUACUAAAAACGCCAGACUGGAGAUGCAAUCAUGCAAGCGGUGCUUCAGAUGCAUACAAAAAUGACACAGGAAAUCCAAUUGGUAUAAUUACUAGCAUUGAACAGCAGAGUCAGAAAUUAGGAUAAUAUUCCCCCCCUAAAACAUGAGAAAAUUUUGCUUUUGCAAGAAAGAGUAAGCAUAUUAAUCUCUAAUAACUUGGGGGUCAUGUAUACCACGCAAACUCUUUCAAUAUAUAUGAUUUUUUAUGGAGGCUACCAUAUCUUAUUGAAGCAUCUUAAGGAAGGACACGAAAACAAGUAAAUAGACAGGCUAUUGUGUUCAAUCAUAUAUAAAUACAAAUAAGCAUAAGAUCAUGAAACUAGUAAAAGAAGGGGUAGGGAAAUUCUUUUCAAAUCACAGCUAGAGCUACAACUAGGGGUGUGCAGUUUUGUUCUAGUUCAAGGCAUGGUUUUAAAUCAUGAUCAUGGUUGUGUUAGUCAUAGAAAAUAGAAACAGGCUUGUAAUGGCCAUAACAUAACGGUAACAGCAUAUUGCUAUGCAAUUUUUUUAAAGAAUUUACAAAGUUCAUAAAAUGAAUAAAUAUUCAAAGAUAAAUUAAAAUUAAUAUAUACAACUAAGUAAUAAACAUAAAUAUAUCAAAUAAAACAAAUUAAAAAGUUUCUCUUUCUUAUAUAUCAUUAGUAGUCAAUAGACAUCAAUUUAAACCCAAAAUAAUUAUGUAGAUAUUAAAGGAAAAUUUAUUACUUAGUCCCUGUGAAAUGGUGAAACUAACAGGUUAAUCCCUGUAUUUUCAAAAAUACAAUAAAUAGUCACUACAAUCUUGAAAAUUUAACCAAAAAGUCCAUUCUAUUAAAAUUUAACACUAUUACCAUUAGUCCAUACGGUAAAAGGUUAGAGAAAAGCUAUCAAUAACAGUGCAAAACUAUAGUAACAGUGUUAAAACUUAACAGGAGGGACAUUUUAGUUGAGUUUUCAAAACCAGAGGGGACUAUUUAGUGCAUUUCUUAAAACACAAGGACUAACAAGUUUAGCCAUAUCACAAGGACUAAAUAGUAAUUUUUCCAUAUUAAAAACUACUUAUUUUACUUGUGAAAAUUAAAUAAUUAGAAACCCAUAAUAUUUAAAAUAUUAACUUCAAGAUUAUUUAAUUUUCUUUGAUUUUAUCUUGCCAGAGCUUAAAUUUACAUUUAACAAAUAUUAUUAAGAGUAAAUUAUACUUUAAUCUCUGAGUUUUAGUGUAAUUAACGGAUCUAUUUUUAAAAUCGAACACUUAAAUCCCUGUAUAUUUAUUCCGUCCAAUAAAUAGUCCUUCCAUCUACUUUUUCAGAAAGGCUGCUAUUACGUGAAUAAGAAAAGUCUUUAUUACCUUUACUUAAUUUUGAGAUGUUAAAGAAACAUAAAUUGCAUCAUUUAAUUAAAUUCAACAAAUUUUAGACACUUUACUUCUUCAAUUAUUAUUUUAUAGUACAAUUCAAACCCUAAUAAUAACUAAAAUCCAGAUUAUUAGUGAAAGGAAAUCCUUCACAAUGUUAAUAUUUUCCCUACUGAAAUCGUUUAGCGAAAGCCUCAUCUUUCCAAUAUUUUCUAAUCUCCAUACGUUGUCAAACAAAGAUGGAAGGAGGGUGCUUCUUGUACAAUUCUCCUUCAAAUCAAAAGCACCAGUAAACACUUAAAGAGCAAUAAUACAUAAUAAUUAUGGAGCAACUAAAUGACAAAAAACCAACACCUUAAUGACAUCAAUAACAGUCCAAUUAGUUUUUUCAUCGGUCUGAAACUGCUCAACAACAACUGGAAUCUUUUUCCUCUCAACAUCACCAAUUCUAUGGUCUGAUAAUCAAAUCCUUUUCCUCUCAACACUGAUUUCCUUCUCUCGCUACUCAAAUAUCCAUAUACAAAUAUAAUUUCCACAACCACAAAUAAGGGUGCAAGAUUCGGUGUUUCAUCUCAUUUUUCAAUUUUUUUGCCCAUAAUAGAGAAAAAGAUGAUGCUAACUGUGCUCUGUGCUGCCCUUGUGGCUAGAUCUGUUACAUUAGACAUCAUCAUCAAGUGAAAAAUUAGGAAGCAUGGUAAGUGGGCUAGAGCAAUAUAAACAGUCAAAGACAUGGAGGAGAAAUGAGAAUAAGAUAUUUGAGAAUCGGGAUUGGUGAUUGAGAAUAAACGAUAUAAAGAUUGAGAAAUUUAUUUUUUCAGAGAAAGUCCAAGAAAAUAAGAGAAUGGGAAACCAAUUUGAAAUGGGAAGUGUUAAGAGUUGUGAAGGAAAGGGUAUUUUUGAGAAAAAAAUAUUCUCUCCUUUGACCAAGUUUUAAAACAUUGAACUAGAGAUUAAUCAACGGAGGGACCUCUAAUUUGAACAGUUUUAAAAUACAAAGAUUUAAGUGUUUAAUUUUAAAAAUAGAGAAACUGAUCCGUUAAUUACGCUAAAAGUCAGAGACUAAAAUGUAAUUUACCCUAUUAUUAAAGCUUAAAGCUUCCUUUAUAUUAUUUUCUAUUUAUUUGUGUUUGUUCUCCUUCAAUUUCAAACCAAAAUCACCUUGUUUAUUUGAUGAUUUAUACUCUUGAGCUCGAAAAUUGUAGAGAAAUGAGUACUUCACUUGAGUUGAUUGUGGAGAAAUCAGAGGAAGCUGAGAGAAAAUGAAGAGGAGCUAAAAUAGAUGGGCCAAGAUAGUUUUCUUCUCAAAAAAUCCCUCUACCACCUUUGUGAAAAAUUAAGAAAAUAAAAACAAAGAUAAAAAUUUAUCAAUUGAAUGAUAAACAAUUAAACAUUAAAACCAAGCAAGUAGCAACAUAUUAAUCAAGUAAUAAUAAACUAAAAAUUAAAAAUAAUGAAAAAGAAAAAAAAAACCUUCUGGUGGUGAGGACAAUAGGACAACAAGAACUCAAGAAGGGAGAAAAGAGGAGGAUAAGGGAAAUGGAAAAAGAAAAAAAAUUGUUCAGCUCAGCUUAGUGUUUAGAUCAACUAGAGACAGUGAGAGAGGAGAAUAAAGAGAGGGAAGGGAGGAGAAGAAGAAGGAGAAGGUUGGGUCAGAUAUGGAGAGUGUAGAGGAAGGGAGGAGAAGGAAGAAGAAGAAAGAGUACAUACCUGUUCUUAGUGCUUUUGUUGGCUGGCUGCUGUUUGGAAUGGAGAAGGAAUUAGGAGCUACUUUAAAGGUUUAAUUUUAAAAUCCUUUAACAUAAUUUGAAAAAAAAAGGCAAGUUAGCGAGCCAGGGGAUUUUAUCCUUCCAAGUUGCUUAUUCUGCUGGCAAAUUAGCUCACUGGAUAAGCCCUUGCAGCACUGGCUUAGUAUCAUGUAGUAUUUUUCUAGUCUUAAGCACUGCUUGAGGUUGAAUAAUCACUGAAUCCUCCUAAAAAGAAGGAUGGUUCUGAAUGAUUACUGCUUGAUCCCCUACCUUCUUUUUCAAGAAAGACACAUGAAAAACAUGAUGAAUAGUAAUUUCUGGAGGCAGCUGCAACUUGUAUGCCACAGCACCCACUCUAGCCAACACUUGAUAAGAGCCACAGAACCUGGCACAGAGUUUAAAAUUUUUUAUUAUAGAUAGGGAAGAUUGUCUGUAAGGUUUCAGUCUUAAGUACACCCAAUUCCCAACUUUAAAUUGCCUUUCAGACCUCCUUUUAUCUGCAUGUUGUUUCAUCCUGUUUUGAGCUGGCAACAAAUUUUCUCGAAUGAUAUGAGAUAAAUGCUGCCUAGAUCGUAGAAAAUCCAUCACAACUUCCACUGCACAAUCUUGUAAUGGUACAGCAGCCAAAGGAGGAGGCUUAUACCCAUAUAUAUAAAGCUUCGAAGAGAGACAUCUGUAAGCUACUAUGUUGGCUAGUGUUAUACUGCCACUCAACCAUAGGCAACCACUUCACUGAAGAAUGGAGCUGUUGAAAAGAAAGACAUCUCAAAUAGCCUUCCAAACACUGGGUUUAUCUCUCAGAAUGCCCAUCAGACUGCGGGUGAUAGGCAAAACUGUGAGCUAGGAAGGUUCCCAACCUUUUGAACGUCUCCUUCCAAAAUAAACUAGUAAAAAUUUUAUCCUGAUCAGAGACAAUUAUAGAAGACAACCCAUGCAGCUUAAAGAUGGAAUCAAGGAAAGUUUGAGCAACUCCAGAGGCAGUAAAAGGAUUUUGUAAUGGUAAGAAAUGAGCAUAUUUGGUGUACCUAAGAUGACCACUAGAAUUGUGUCCUUGCCGAAGGAUUUUGGAAGUUGCUUAAUAAAAUCCAUGGUAACAUGCUGCCAAGCCUAAGAGGGAACUGGUAGAGGCUGUAAGAGACUAGUAGAAGGGCAGUGUUCAGCGUUACAUCGAGCACACACAUCACAUUUUUGUAUCCAAUCCAUAACUACCUUCAACAUUCCAGGCCAAUAGAAAUGUCUAGCCAACCUAACAUAGGUGGCAGCCUGAAUGUCCUCCUAAAUAGGAGUUGUGAUAGAGGCUCAACAAAUGAGUCCUCAAGUCUCUCUUAGUGCCCACAUACAAUCUGCUUUUAUGGAAUAAGAGCCCAUUCUUAAAAGAAUAUCCGAGAUGUGCAUGUUCAUCUAAGGAUAGAUGAGAAAUAAAAUCAGCAGCCUGAGUAUCUCCUUCAUAACUAUCAAUGAGCUGGUGCAUCCAAGUUGGCUGGACCACAGAAAUAGCCAUCAUCAAAGUAGCAUUACCUCCCUUUCAUAAACAAAGAGAGCCUUCGACACCCAUUCUGUAAAUAAUUUUAUACUGUAGCCUCAAAAGCUUAGAAAUGCCCUUCAACUGUAGAUUAGUAUGUAAUUUUUGCUCUAGAAGAUGCUUGAUACUUUUAUGAUCAGUCUUAAUGAAGAAAAGCCCAUGCUCCAAAUAGUGUCUCCACUUGGAGACUGCAAAUGUAAUGGCCAAUAACUCCCUUUCAUAAACAGAGAGAGCCCUUGAUCUAGGUCUAAAAGCCUUGGAAAUAUAAGCAAUAGGAUAGUUAUCCGGCUGCAAAAAUGCUCCCAUAACCAUCCCGCUUGCUUCAGUCUCCACUGUAAAUGGCUUAGAAAAAAUCAGGCAUGGCCAAAACAGGAGUUGCAACCAUUACAUCCCUUAAUUGGCAGAAAGCCUAUUGUGCUUCAACAGACCAUCGGAAUUUUAUUUUAUUUUUUUUAAAGUAGGUCCAUCAAAGGUCUACUGAUCAUUCCAUAAUUCUUGACAAAUUUCCGAUAAUACCCUAUCAAACCCAAGAAACUUCGCAACUCUUUGACUGAUUGAGGGUAAGGCCAAUUCGUGGACACUCACUCUUGUUGAGAUAAUAUAGCCUAAAUAGUCAAUUUCAGUUUUGCAAAAAGAGCAUUUACUGAGUUUAAUUAGCAAUUGCUGCUGCUGUAACACCUUAAAGACUUGCUCUAAAUGUUUAAGAUGCUCUUGCAAGCUAUAUAUAAGGAUGUCAUCAAAGAAAACCCACACAAACUUUCUUAGAAAGGGCUAGAAUAUAUAGUUCAUUAGAACUUGAAAAGUGACAGGUGCAUUAGUAAGCCCAAAGGCAUCACAGCGAACUCAUAGUGUCCGUGAUGAGUCCUAAAAGCAGUUUAACAUCAGGAGGUGACAUCCGGAUCUGAUGAUAUCCUGCCCUUAAAUCAAUUUUAAAAAAAAAAACUACUCCGUGCAACUCAUCGAAGAGAUCAUCAAUAAUAGGGAUAGAAAAUUUAUUUUUUACUGGCAUAUCAUUCAGCCUUCUAUAGUCGACACAAAAUCUCCAUGUACCAUCUUUCUUCUUAACCAAUAACACAAGGGAAGCAUAAGGACCGGUACUUGGCUGUAUGACUUUGUUACUCAGCAUCUCCUGCACCAAUUUCUCAAUCUCUUCAUUCUGAAAGUGUGGAUAUCUACAAGGUUUGAUGUUUAUAGGUUAGGCAUUAGGCAAAAGAGGAAUAGAGUGGUUAUGGGAUCUCAAAGGAGGAAGUUCUUGCGGUUCCUUAAAUAACCCUUCAUACUGAACCAAUAAUACUUGUAAUGCCUGCUGAAAAGCAUCAGGGGCUGAUGUAGUUGCUGAACAUUCAACUAACUCCAUCUCUACCUCUUGUGAAAAUGUUGCUUUAACACAAAACAUAGGCUGCUCAAAAUCUGCCCCUUGUUUAUGAAACAACUUGUCUCCGGAAACAUGAUUCACCUCCUCCACUUCUAACCCUCCUUCACCAACUCCUCGCAGUGAUACAAUCUUCCCAUGCACCUGGAAACUGAUGUUGAAAUUCUCAAAGUCAAAUAAGACUGGAUUGUGUAGUUUCAUCCAAUCAACCCCUAAAAUCAUUACAAAACCACCCAGUGGUAACAAUCUAACAUCAAGGGUGAAAGAAUGCUCCUGAAUCUUCCAUGUAAACCCUAGUGACCUAUUCGAGCUAAAAAUCUUUCUCCCAUCAACUACUGUGACAACAACCGCUGGAGCUGUAACAAUUGGCACCUUCAUCUCCUUAGCCACCUGCUCAUCCAGAAAACUAUGAGUGCUCCCACUAUUUAUCAAAAUUAGUAACUCCCUGUUCUUAUAAUGCCCUAUCAUCCUUAUAGUAUCAUCCCCUUGACUCCCUUCUAAUGCAUGAAUUGAAAAGGUUGCCUCUUCAUGUGUUUCAUUUCCCUCCCCCUCCAUAACAUCAUGCCACUCCUCUUCACCUUCCUCCACAGUCUACCCACUGUCUUCUUGCAGUGCCAUUACAGUCUUGACUUUACAAACAUGCCCAGGAAAAUAUCUAUCUCCACAUCUAUAGCAAGGUUCAGGUGGUCGCAUAGCAACAGGGUUAUUUGUAGUCUUGUUUAUUGAGGUUUGGCUGGUUGGGGGUGAGUUCUUUUGUGAAAGACUUGAUUUAUUUAUAAUGGUGGUAUUCUCUAUAUUUGGGGGCUUGGUUGCUGAAGAAUUAGUUUGGCUGAGAAGUGUAGUUUUAUAGGAAUAGUUGGUAGAAGAAACUGGAUUAGUUUGUUUGAAAUUGGCUUGAACAGGUUUAGUUUGGAUAUGGUCUUUUUGGUGCUGUUAAGAAGUUGCUUCUGAAAUUUGGCUAUUUGGAAAGCGUUAGUAAGGGUGUUUGGCUUGAGCAUUCUCAAUACAAGUCUAAUAUCAUCUUUCAACCCUCCGAUAAACUAUGAUAGAAAAUAGGCUUCUCCCCAACUAAAUAUUAUCCAUUCCACCCUAAUUCUUAUAUCUUCAAACUUAUCUUGGUAUUCCCUUAUAGUCCUUUCCUGUCUAAUUCUCAUUAAUUUCUCAAUCACAUCUUCCAGCCCUUCUUUCCCAAACCUUGCACAAAAAUCCCUCUCAAAAUUUGUCCAAGUAUGACCUGCUUCUUCUUUGAUCCAAUUAUGAAACCACGCAUCAACCCUAUCCACCAAAAAUAAGCUAGCUACCGAUACCAUUUGCUCUCUAGAAAUAUUAUAGAUCUCAAAAUAUUUGAGGCAUUUCCUAAUCCAAGCUCUAGGUUCUUUACCAUCACUUGUCACCAAUUUCAUUUUAGGAAUGAAUCUAGUCAUACCUUGAGCAUCGAGCAUCAGUCACAAAACCCAUGCUAUUGGAGUCUUGCACCGAAGAAGGAUGACUAGGACCUCUCGGCCUAGGGAAAAGACCUCGACCCCCAAAGGACCCAAUUGGAAUGCCCGCUGCUGCAGCAGGCUCUUCUGCGCCUUCACUACUCUCGCCGACCACUCCUUUCCCUUUAUUUGGGAUAUUAGCCCCAAAUAUGCUUCGCAGCUCUUCCAAUAUAACAUUCUUAGUUUCCACUGUAUUCUUCUUAAUUUCUUCCCACAAUUCUUCUGUCUUUCUUAACGCUCUCUUGCAACAAUCGGAUCUAUUCCUCCACUUCCACCAACCUAGACUCCUGAUUCACUGCUGUGGAUCUAGUCAUCGCAAAAUUGGAUCGUAUUUCUCGCCGUGGCAUAGAUAUGGAAUCGAGACACCAAUCUUACAACCUUGGCAAUUGGGCUUUGAUACCAAAUUGUUAGGAACUAGAAGAGAAACUAGGAUGAGAAGAAGAAGAGAUUAGAUGAGAAUAGAAAAGGAAGCAGAAAUAGAGAUGAGGAAGAAUUUAUUAUCUCAUUUUCAUAUCAUGGCUGAUUACAAUCUUCCUGUGGGCCUCAUAACAAACUUGUAGCAACUUUGCAACAAACUUGUAUUUAGCUAAUCCCAAUUCCCUCCAAAACUUACAGCUGAGCUGUCAUCUAAUUAUUUUCUAUUCCUUCAAGAAUAUGUAACACUGUACUUUCAGUAUGAUUCCUGAUCACUUUGAUUUUCAAUUACGGUUCGGUGCUUUAGUUCUGGCCCAAUCCAAUUCAAAUAAUUAAGCUUAAAUUACCAUUUAAAUUUUAUAGUUGCUGAUAUGCAGAUAUAUAUAUAACAUGCCUUUUAACUAUUUAUUAAUUAUGUAGUCUUGAUAUUGAGCACUUAGGAUUGUUCUACUUCUAGCAGAAAUGGCACUUUUGACAGAGCAAUACACGAUCUGGGCAUGUACCAGGCCAGAAAAAUAUAUAUAGAAACAUAUUGUAUUAAAAGGUUAUAAUAUAUCUAAAAAAUCAUAGAAACAUAUAUGAAUAAAAUCUUGUUCAGUUUGAUACAGUUUCAGUUUGUUUCUCAGUGAAGAACCAGAUACGAACCAAAAUAAUAAAAUAAUCUUGGAUCCAAUACGAUUCUUCAGUCCGGUUCAAAACUCCCAACCAUACACAUACUCCCAACAGCAAGAUUCAAGACUAAAAUUCAAAAAUGCUCAACCUAGAUGAAAAAUCCUUGACAAAACCUUAGGAUCUAUCCAGCUUACUCGUUUACAUAGCAAACCUCAUUGGCACCUAGAUUAACAUCUCUUACAAUAUCCAAAAACAGGCCUUGUGCACAGAUUUGCAUUUCUAUUAGUAAAAGGAUAUUAAUCCAGGCCCUCAAUGAACAAGUCUUCAAACAAAGUGGUAGCCCAAGACAUCCAGCUCCACCAAACUCACCACUCCACAAUUAGAUAACACAACUUUGAAUAUGAAAGAAACAUAUCAUAAUUAAAAUCCUUAAUUCUUUUUCCUAAAACAAUAAUUCCAUUUUCCAGCAUUUUAAAAUGAAUCACAAUUUAGUUAGUGACUUGCACAUAGUUUUGGACUUUUGGGAAAAUCCAAUUUUAUCUCAUUCCACUUGAUGGUUAUAUUUUGGUUAAUAAUCUGGUAGACUGUUGAACCAAUCAGACAUCCAAAAUAAAUCAUGUGUAGCAGUUAUGAUAUAUUGUUGAUUUCAUCAGCAUGUGAAAUAAAACAUAAAAAGUCUCUUAAAACUACUGACUUGCACAAAGUGCAUCCAGGAUUCGAUGCUGAACACUGUCAUGCAAAUCAUGGAUGCAACAUGAUUAAAGAAACAUAAAGGAAGCACUUACCCAUCAAUUAAUUCCUCAAGUUGUGGCUGAAGCUCUUUGUCCCGCAAUUCCUCAAUCCUCUUUGAUAUGGAAUCAAUUCUGUGAAUUGCAACUCUGAUUCUAGAGUGUAGAUCCUUAACAACAGCCCGAGUUUUAUCAAUUUUGUUGC
rnacentral:lncRNA from 1 species